rnacentral:rRNA from 1 species
GAUGAACGCUGGCGGCGUGCCUAAUACAUGCAAGUCGAGCGAACAGACGAGGAGCUUGCUCCUCUGACGUUAGCGGCGGACGGGUGAGUAACACGUGGAUAACCUACCUAUAAGACUGGGAUAACUUCGGGAAACCGGAGCUAAUACCGGAUAAUAUAUUGAACCGCAUGGUUCAAUAGUGAAAGACGGUUUUGCUGUCACUUAUAGAUGGAUCCGCGCCGCAUUAGCUAGUUGGUAAGGUAACGGCUUACCAAGGCGACGAUGCGUAGCCGACCUGAGAGGAUGAUCGGCCACACUGGAACUGAGACACGGUCCAGACUCCUACGGGAGGCAGCAGUAGGGAAUCUUCCGCAAUGGGCGAAAGCCUGACGGAGCCACGCCGCGUGAGUGAUGAAGGUCUUCGGAUCGUAAAACUCUGUUAUUAGGGAAGAACAAAUGUGUAAGUAACUCUGCACGUCUUGACGGUACCUAAUCAGAAAGCCCCGGCUAACUUCGUG